UAUUAUGGUGACUGGGACACAGCUCUAUAAUGUUUCCUACCCUGGGUUUGCAAUAUAUUAUGAUAUAUUAUGAUCUAAUCCAUGGGGUAAUAAAAGGCUAUGAAAUAUUAAAUGAUAAACCUUUAUUGUAAAUUACAACAGCCGUAUCCUCUGUGAGGACUUUUAAUGUUAAUCCAUUCAAUAUCUGGGUGUACAGUAUAUACAGUAUCAUGUGUUAUGACAUGAAUAACAGUGACUGUUUUAU